rnacentral:rRNA from 1 species
ACGGACGAGGCCCCUUCGGGGACCGAGUUAGUGGCGAACGGGUGAGUAACGCGUGAGGAACCUGCCUUUCAGUGGGGGACAACAGUUGGAAACGACUGCUAAUACCGCAUGAAGCAUUUAGGGGGCAUCCCCUGAAUGCCAAAGAUUUAUUGCUGAAAGAUGGCCUCGCGUCUGAUUAGCUAGUUGGAGGGGUAACGGCCCACCAAGGCGACGAUCAGUAGCCGGUCUGAGAGGAUGAACGGCCACAUUGGGACUGAGAUACGGCCCAGACUCCUACGGGAGGCAGCAGUGGGGAAUAUUGGGCAAUGGGGGAAACCCUGACCCAGCAACGCCGCGUGAAGGAAGAAGGCUUUCGGGUUGUAAACCUCUUUUACCAGGGACGAAGAAAGUGACGGUACCUGGAGAAAAAGCCACGGCUAACUACGUGCCAGCAGCCGCGGUAAUACGUAGGUGGCAAGCGUUGUCCGGAUUUACUGGGUGUAAAGGGCGUGUAGGCGGAGAUUCAAGUCAGGAGUGAAAACUAUGGGCUUAACCCAUAAACUGCUUUU